CAAUAGCGUAUAUUUAAGUUGUUGCGGUUAAAAAGCUCGUAGUUGGAUUUCUGCUGAGAACGACCGGUCCGUCCUUUGGGUGUGUAUCUGGCUCUUUCUUGGCAUCUUCUUGGUGAACGUUGCUGCACUUGACUGUGUGGAGCGCUACCCAGGACUUUUACUUUGAGGAAAUUAGAGUGUUUCAAGCAGGCAUACGCCUUGAAUACAUUAGCAUGGAAUAAUAAGAUAGGACCUCGGUUCUAUUUUGUUGGUUUCUAGAGCUGAGGUAAUGAUUAAUAGGGAUAGUUGGAGGCAUUCGUAUUUAACUGUCAGAGGUGAAAUUCUUGGAUUUGUUAAAGACGAACUUCUGCGAAAGCAUUUGUCAAGGAUGUUUUCAUUA
rnacentral:rRNA from 1 species